CCUACGGGGUGCAGCAGUCGAGAAUCAUUCACAAUGGGGGAAACCCUGAUGGUGCGACGCCGCGUGGGGGAAUGAAGGUCUUCGGAUUGUAAACCCCUGUCAUGUGGGAGCAAAUUAAAAAGAUAGUACCACAAGAGGAAGAGACGGCUAACUCUGUGCCAGCAGCCGCGGUAAUACAGAGGUCUCAAGCGUUGUUCGGAAUCACUGGGCGUAAAGCGUGCGUAGGCUGUUUCGUAAGUCGUGUGUGAAAGGCGCGGGCUCAACCCGCGGACGGCACAUGAUACUGCGAGACUAGAGUAAUGGAGGGGGAACCGGAAUUCUCGGUGUAGCAGUGAAAUGCGUAGAUAUCGAGAGGAACACUCGUGGCGAAGGCGGGUUACUGGACAUUAACUGACGCUGAGGCACGAAGGCCAGGGGAGCGAAAGGGAUUAGAUACCCCAGUAGUC
rnacentral:rRNA from 1 species